rnacentral:rRNA from 1 species
UACGGGGGGAGCAAGCGUUGUUCGGAAUCACUGGGCGUAAAGGGAGUCUAGGCGGUUUGGUAAGUGGGAUGUGAAAUGCCCCGGCUCACCCGGGGACCUGCAUCCCAAACUGCUGAGCUUGAGUACAGGAGAGGGUGGGGGAAUUCCAGGUGUAGCGGUGAAAUGCGUAGAUAUCAGGAGGAACACCGGUGGUGUAGACGGCUUUCUGGACCGUAACUGACGCUGAGACACGAAAGCGUGGGUAGCAAACAGG